GGCAGCCCCGCGCCCAGGCCGAGCAGAGUCAGGGCCGCCAGCGCCGUAAGCAGCAAGGGGAAGGGCAGGUUGUAGAGCACCAGGCCCCCGCGAACGCCCAGCCGCGCCUGCGAGCCGUAAGGGUCGUGUGGUUGGCAAGUCAUUUAACUUUUCCAAACAAAUCUGCAAAAUGGAGAUAACAGCACCUGCCUCAUUGCGUUGUGAAGAAGAUGAAAUGUUUAGCCCGGUGCCCAACACCCAGUUCUCACUCUGUCAUCCAGGCUGGUGUGCAGUGGUGCAAUGCGGGCUUACUGCAGCCUUGACCUCCAGGUCAAGUGAUCUCCCACCUCAGCCUCCGGAAUAGCUGGGACUACAGAGUCUUCUUUCUCCAGGACAAACACUCCGAGUUUUUCAGCUGUUCCUUGCAGGACAGGAUUCUGGGUUCUCACCAUGUGGAAUCUCUUCUCUGUUUGCUUCUUACCAGCUCAACAACGCCCCUCUGAAAGUAGGACUCUUGGAAAUGAACCUCGUUGGGAGUAAAGCUGAACCUUCACCUCUCCUUUCCAGGAUUCUACUCCAUUCAUACGGCCUCACACUGAAUUAAUGUUUCUAGCAGCCACAUCACUUUGCUACCCAACUGAUCUAGUAGUAAAGUCUUCCCCCCUCUUCAUGUACAACUGGUUUAUUGACUCUUAAUGUAGGAUUCUACAUUUGUUUGUUGUUUAUCUUGUUAGAUCCAGCCUGUUGUUACAAUCCUGUAGGAAGUUAACUGGAUCCUGAUUCUACAUAUAGCUGAUUGACAUUUUGGAGGGUUUUGCAAUAACCAUUUCCCUUCCUGACAGCAUCCUAACUUCCUUUGGGGGACCUGUAUCUGUUCCCAUGUGGGCAGUCUUGGCCAGAAUGCAGUCCUAGGGCCCCCUACAGAAGCUGAGGAGUCUGGAUCCUUCCUCUCACUUCCCCUUGUGAACUCGCUGGGAGCCUCCUUUGGAGAUGUUGAGAUUCCCUCCACAGGCUCAGAGCUGGCCCGGUUCCCUUCCUCAGUUUCUCCUGCGAAGGGCAGGUGUGUGAGUGCCUGACCUCCCAGUCCAUGCAGGGCCAUCUGGCUGCUUGCUGGCUGCCCUCUUUGGAACCAGGGGCCCCAAUCCCGUCGCGUUUCUAAACCACCAACCGGCAGGCAUUCUGAGAUUCCAAACAAAUGCAAGAGAGAUUAGGAUCCCUUUGGCUAGAGGCCAAGGUGAAAGCUGAUCCUGUGGAAAGAGGAGACUGGCUGGGGUGGAGGUGAAUGUAAGCGGGGAACACGAGGCGCGCAGGUGUGGACAGGGAGUAACUCAGCUCCAGAUGGAGCUCCCAGCAUCCUUCUGGAGACUCUGGGAUGGCGGGGAUAAAUGGAAGGUGACUCCAAGUAUACAAGGGAUGGUCAAUAUCUCCUGUUUACCAAGCACUUGGUCUGCCAAAAACUAUGCUACACACCAUUAUUCUUUUUAAGUCCUCAUGACAACCCUAGGUUUUAUGUUUUUCAUUAUACAGCUGGCAAGCUGAAGCUCAGAGAAGUUCAAUAACUUGUUAAACGUCAUGCAGCAACUAAGGGGCCAAGCCACAGGCCUGACUUUAGAACUAGUGCUCUUUGUUUUGAGAUGGAAUCUUGCUUUUGUAUUUUUAGUAGAGGCAGGGUUUCGCCAUGUUGGCCAGGCUGGUCUCAAACUCUUGGCCUCAAGUGAUCAGCCUGCCUCGCCCUCCCAAAGUGCUAGGAUUACAGGCAUGAGUCACCACGCCUGGCCAGAACCAGUGCUCUUAAUAGUAAUGACACCCUCCUGCCCCUCUGGAAGAACCUGAGAGAGGAAAGUGGGGGAGAUGGAAACCCCAGGCCUUCCAGGCAGCCCCUACUGUGUUAGGAGUUAAUUGAGUUCAUGAAAAUAGGCCCUCCAGUUUGGAUCUCUGUUGACUUCAAACCAACAGAGCUGAAAGUUGUUGUGACUCCCCAAGGAAAGAGUGAGAAAGAAAAGGCAAAGAAGAUGGGGCUGGCAAUGAUGAAAUCUCCUGCUUAGACAAAGCCCAGGACAGUUGGUUGGCAUUUUCGUUCUGGCUGGUUGCUCUGGCAGGCAUGAGAAAAUAAACAAAAGGGAGAACAGGUGAGAGAAAGUGCAGGCUGGUGAACCUUCUCUGUGCUCUGCCCACUGUCCUGAACUCUGAGGGCACAGGGAGUUAUACUCUUUUACCAAACUGGCCAAAUUCAGCCUGAAGGGUUCCUGGAGUCUUAACCUACUCAUUCUCAGAUUUUAGCUUCCACCAACACCAACUAAACAAACCUGAUCUUUUUAAAGAGGUUUUUUGUCUGUUUUCUGAGACAGAGUCUCUCUCUUUCACCCAGGCUGGAGGGCAGUGGCACAAUCUCAGCUCACUGUAACCUCCGCCUCCUGAGUUCAAGCCGUUUUCCUGCCUCAGCCACCCGAGUAGCUGGGACUACAGGAAUGCACCACCACGCCUGGCUGAUUUUUGUAUUUUUGGCAGAGAUGGGGUUUCACCAUGUUGGCCAGGCCGGUCUCAAACUCCUGACCUCAAGUGAUCUGCCUGCCUUGGCCUCCCAAAGUGCUGGGAUUACAGGCGUGAGCCACCACACCUGGCCAAGAGUUAUUUAUUUUUUGUGUGUGUGAAAUCUGAUGCCACUUUAAAAUCAGCAGAUCCUUACCCCAUUCCCUUUCACUCUCAAUUCCCACUUUCUGGAAGUAAUUAUUGUCAAGUCUUUCUGGUACUUCUGGUUAUUUCUUCUGGUAUUUAUCCUAUUUUCACAUCAGAUUUAUGCUGCUAAUGUUAAUUAUUUUCAGUUUUGGGGGUUAAUCUAUUGACUACUAUGAAGAUAAUAUGAAAAUGUAGCUCUUCUAUUACUUUCCAUAUUUUUCUGUAGUUUUUUGGUAUCAUUAUUCUGCAUUUACAAUACUAGAACUGUGAAACAAUUAUUCAAGCUGAUUCAAGAAGUGUGCUGUGAGGAUAAUUAUUCCCUCCCCAGACAUUGUUUCUCCUGCAGUAAGCACUGCUUGGUUUUUCAUUUGCUUAAUUUUCCAUGCAUCUAUCACUAAUUCAUUCCCCUUAAUCUUUCCUUAAAGUGAAAAACA